GACGAACGCUGGCGGCGUGCCUAAUACAUGCAAGUAGGACGCAGUUGCGAACGGGUGAGUAACGCGUAGGUACCUGCCUAUUAGAGGGGGAUAACUAUUGGAAACGAUAGCUAAUACCGCAUACUAGUAGAUGGACCUGCUUUGUAUUAGGUAGUAGGUAGGGUAAUGGCCUACCUAGGCAACGUUACAUAGCCGACCUGAGAAGGUGAACGGCCAAAAUGGGACCUAUACCGGGCCCAGACGCCUACGGGAGGCAGCAGUAGGGAAUCUUCGCCAAUGGGGGGAACCUGGACCGAGCAAAUCCGCGAUAGUGAAGAAAGUUUUCGGAGCGUAAAGAUCUGUUGUUGAUGAAGCGGUACUUAACCAGAAAGGGACGGCUAACUACGUGCCAGCAGCCGCGGUAAUAC
rnacentral:rRNA from 1 species